rnacentral:lncRNA from 10 species
AUCCUUCCAGAAGAACCACAGCCGUUGUUGAUGAAUCUGGGUGUGGGUAGAGCUUGUCCGCUGGAGGUGACGCAGACACCAUCACUACAGUGUAAACACCAUUCAUGCAACUGCAGCCACCACCGGGGCCACUGGCCAGACCACCACUUCCCAGAGCCCAGGCCUCUGAGCUUUCCCUGGACUAGCUCCUCCCCGGAAUGCUUUCCUCUCAACCAGCCACCUUGAGAUCUACUUUUAGACCUUUAAGGGAAUGCUUUCCUCUCAACCAGCCACCUUGAGAUCUACUUUUAAACCUUCAAGGUUCAGGCCUCCUUGUGUGGAGUUGGAAGAAGAGUAUAAUUUCCUCAGAGACUAUUCCUGCAUGAUUCAGGAACACUUCUUUAAUAUCCAACAGAGGAAUGAGAUGCAAACAUGAAAACAAAGGGAUCUGAUCAUGUGCCUUCCACCAGAGUCCACAUCUUCCCAUCAUCUGGGGUACAAGCACAAGCAUCUCAGGUUAGGCUUUUGAGAAGAAGAUGUGAUGUGAAGAUUUCUGUGCAAUCGAUGCAUGAAGGAAGAGCUUCCAGGAGAAACUGGUGAAAGAUGAGGUAAGCAGACCACAGAAAAGGGGAAGCCAGGCCAGGGAGUCGUGCUAGGCAAACGAGCAUCCUCAGUCUGUCUGAUCUGCCAGGGAGCUCUGGAGUAUAAGUCAAACCUGAGAGAUGGACUGACUUGGGGUACGGGAGCCAGUCUUCAUAUCUGACACUGGCCAGACUUUGGAGAGGGGAAUCAGGAGCUGAAGGGCAGUUUUCUGCCCUGAUGCAAGCCAGAGAAGCAGGGCCAUAGAGGAAGAGGUGGGGGACACACCAACAACAGGUAAAGGGACCCAAGAAACUCUUGGCUGAGCCGGGCCAGUGUCUCCAACAAACUUUUCACCGACUGAGGUCUGCAUACAGGCUGAGAAGUAUAGUUUGGAGUCAGAUAUGCAAGUGUUUUUCCCCCUUGAGCAUCUACUUUUCUUAUUAGAUGUGUAAACCUUAGCAGAGUACUGAAUUUUCUCCAUAUAAGAGCUCAGAGUUUCUACUUUUGCAAAAUGGAAAUAAUGAUAUUGCCUCCCUUAUGGAACUGCGGGACUUCAAUGACAUGAAGUAUGUAUAGUACUCAGCUCAGUGUCUGCACAUAAUAAAUGGGUAAUAAAUGUUAGUGAAAAUGAGAAUUGAAUUUCUUAUGCUUAAAUAGUCACCAUUGACUAAGUGUUUAAUCAGAAGGCAUGCAAAUGGUGUGGAUAUGCGGAACUCCAAAUAAAAUUUGUCCUGAUACUUGAGGGCAAACAUACAAUCUGGCUUUUUGAAUUCAGAUACCUCAGCUUCUUUUGAUCUGAAUUAUUCAGGGAACCAAUUCAACUUUCUGCCUAGUCCUGUUUUGCUUGGAAAACACAAAUGCUGCUAACAUUAUGGUUCUUUCAUUAUACAAAUCAUAGAACUUCUCUGGGCCCAAGUUUCUCAUCUAUAAAUAAGAUAGUUUGACAAAAUGAUUUCCAAGUUUCCUUCCAAAGUUUACUAUGACUGCAUUAUUUUGCACAUGUCAUUCUAGACGGAAUUAAUCGUAGGAAAAUAAACGUUCAAUUAUGCUGAAGGUUACAAACUUCUAGCCUUUACAAUUCAAAAAUAUUUCACUAAAAUUAGACUUCAGUUAGAAGUACGAAGGCAGUAACAUGAACUAUUUUGUUUCAGUGUUGUUUUGACCUAUUGUUAUUUUGGGGUUGAAAACAGUGUAUCUGGCCAGGCAAGGUGGCUCAUGCCUGUGGUCCCAGCUCUUAGGGAGGCUGAGGCGGGUGGAUCACUUGAGGUCAGGAGUUCGAGACCAGCUUGGCCAACAUGGUGAAACCUUGUCUCUAAUAAAAAAUAAAAAAAUUGGUCAAGAGUGGUGGCAUACUCCUGUGGUCCCAGCUACUCGGGAGGCUGAGGUGGGACAACUGCUUGAACCUGGGAAGUAGAGGUUGCAGUGAGCUGAGAUUGUGCCACUGCACUCCAGCCUGGAUGACAGAGGAAGACUCUGUCUCAAAAAAAAAAAAAAGAAAACAGUGUGAGAAGAGGUGAGAAUUAUCUUAAAAAUAACUUAAACAAUCAUAAUCAUUCCCAAAGAAAAUUUGCAGCCCAGAAGAAAUGUCUGCUACGUUGUUUUGACCUACGUGAAGGAAAUUGUCAGAAUGAUAAAGCUCUUUAUGACAGUUAUUACAUUGGCAAACAAAUAAAGCAGUCUUUCUUGAGAUAUAAAAUACAUAGCCUUUGUAAAAUAUAAAGACCCUAAGUUAGGGAAGCUCUCAAGCUAAGAUAUAUUUAUUCCCCUUAAAAUAACCUAAACAUAGAUAGCAAAUAGAAUAGGGUAAUGAGAUUUGAUCAUUUACGUGAUUCUAGAGAAAUGAAAGAGGAUAUAUAAAAUUACAUAUGUUAAAUUUUAAUUUUGAUGACUUAAAAAUAUUACUAUUGGCCAGGUGCAGUGUGGCUCAUGCCUGUAAUCCCAGCACUUUGGGAG